GACGAACGCUGGCGGCGUGCUUAACACAUGCAGGUCGAACGGAAAGGCCCUGCUUUUGUGGGGUGCUCGAGUGGCGAACGGGUGAGUAACACGUGAGUAACCUGCCCUUGACUUUGGGAUAACUUCAGGAAACUGGGGCUAAUACCGGAUAGGAGCUCCUGCUGCAUGGUGGGGGUUGGAAAGUUUCGGCGGUUGGGGAUGGGCUCGCGGCUUAUCAGCUUGUUGGUGGGGUAGUGGCUUACCAAGGCUUUGACGGGUAGCCGGCCUGAGAGGGUGACCGGCCACAUCGGGACUGAGAUACGGCCCAGACUCCUACGGGAGGCAGCAGUGGGGAAUAUUGCACAAUGGGCGGAAGCCUGAUGCAGCAACGCCGCGUGCGGGAUGACGGCCUUCGGGUUGUAAACCGCUUUCGCCUGUGACGAAGCGUGAGUGACGGUAAUGGGUAAAGAAGCACCGGCUAACUACGUG
rnacentral:rRNA from 1 species